UACGGAGGGGGCUAGCGUUGUUCGGAAUUACUGGGCGUAAAGCGCACGUAGGCGGCUUGGCAAGUUAGAGGUGAAAGCCUGGAGCUCAACUCCAGAAUUGCCUUUAAGACUGCCGAGCUAGCAGGUGAGAGAGGUGAGUGGAAUUCCGAGUGUAGAGGUGAAAUUCGUAGAUAUUCGGAAGAACACCAGUGGCGAAGGCGACUCACUGGACACGUAUUGACGCUGAGGUGCGAAAGCGUGGGGAGCAAACAGG
rnacentral:rRNA from 1 species